rnacentral:lncRNA from 1 species
UGCUGGUGAUUAGACCAGAGGUAAACACAGAUAACUAUUAAGUACGUAUCCUUCCUUCCAGACAUUUUAUAAAAAUUCAGCAAUCACUUAUUGAGCACUGACCAUACACUUUGUACCACUGUUACAUUUUCAACCCUAUUCUUCUCUUGUGCUUUAGGGCAUUUUGGCUGUGGUGCUGAUCAUGGGCUUCUUCCAGAAAUUUGUGACAGGUGGCAUCUCUGAGAAUGAAUGGAAAAGACUGUGCUCCAGACCAAAGCUGUAAGCAGUAGCUACUCUGUCCACAACCUCCAUCUGGGAAAAAUCACUUAGACAAAGGAUCUUUUAUGGAGAAGAUAAUCUACUUCCAUUGGCAGCCCUUGAUGAGCAAGCCACCAGGUGGAACCAGUAAAACGUGAAGGACUGAAGCCGAUUGGUCAAGAGAUGGACGCCUUAUUCGAAGGGAGUCAAUCCACCAACAGGUAGCCAAUUGAAUGGAAACGCUGUGAAGUAUCACGGCUGGGGCAGGAUGUUUGCCGGCAUGUGCAAGACUGAGUCAAGAAGAAAUAAGACCCGGAGGAAGACAGUUGCAAGGGAGCUAGAAGAAAGCUGAGCAGUUGCACCUUCAGCAGCAGAAAAACCAUCAGAGAGACAGAGAGGGUCGCUGGUCCCAAGAUGACCGGCUCCUGUCCUCUCUGAGGCUCCUGGUUCGUUUUUGCUUUCCUCAGAUUUUUUGAUCUUUAUGUUAAACCUUCGUUUUACUUGUGCUAUUUCCAGCAUGUUUCUUUUUCCUGCAAUCAAAAGAACUCUGACUAGAACACAGC